GCAGCAAGGCAUGCUGGGAGCUGUAGUCCAGCUCCAGAAGAGGCAGCUGGGCAUGCUGGGAGUUGUAGUUCCCACACCCGGCCCUCCGAGGAUGGGGGCCGCAAGGCAUGCUGGGAGCCCCAGCCGCCGCAAGGCAUGCUGGGAAUCGUAGUCCCAAGGGC